AGAAGGAGGUCUUUGUGCUUCAGAGGUGGAGACAGACCUGGGUUCAAAUCUCCGUGCUGCUACUCACUGGCUGUGUGACCUGGGGCAUACACGAACCGGCACUGACAUCUGAGCAGCCACUACGCACGCUCAUUGAAAGAGGACCAAUGGUGACUAAGAGAGGUGCUUCCAACUCUGUGUGGACCAGAGGGUCUGCUGGAAUGUACAGGCACUGGGAAAGGCUGAAGCCUCCUGGGAAAGUGACCACAGACUGACGUCAUCUAGAGAUGAAGACAGGGGAAUCAAGGCCAAGAACCCAGGGACUUCCCUGAGGAGGGCUCCCUAAGAAGGUGGAGCCCACAGCCCGCUAACCUUCCUUCAAUGACAGUGGGGGGCCCCUAACGGGCAUCCUGGGUGCUCGCUCUGGGACGAGCAUGAGGGUAACCCUAGUCAGUGUUCCUACUGCCCAGGCUAAACAUCUGCUUCAACCUCACAGUUCAU